CCUACGGGGGGCAGUAGUGAGGAAUAUUGGUCAAUGGACGAGAGUCUGAACCAGCCAAGUAGCGUGAAGGAUGACUGCCCUAUGGGUUGUAAACUUCUUUUAUAUGGGAAUAAAACGUUCCACGUGUGGGAUUUUGUAUGUACCAUAUGAAUAAGGAUCGGCUAACUCCGUGCCAGCAGCCGCGGUAAUACGGAGGAUCCGAGCGUUAUCCGGAUUUAUUGGGUUUAAAGGGAGCGUAGGUGGAUUGUUAAGUCAGUUGUGAAAGUUUGCGGCUCAACCGUAAAAUUGCAGUUGAAACUGGCAGUCUUGAGUACAGUAGAGGUGGGCGGAAUUCGUGGUGUAGCGGUGAAAUGCUUAGAUAUCACGAAGAACUCCGAUUGCGAAGGCAGUUCACUGGACUGCAACUGACACUGAGGCUCGAAAGUGUGGGUAUCAAACAGGAUUAGAUACCCCGGUAGUC
rnacentral:rRNA from 1 species